rnacentral:rRNA from 1 species
UCGAGCGGACAGAAGGGAGCUUGCUCCCGGAUGUUAGCGGCGGACGGGUGAGUAACACGUGGGUAACCUGCCUGUAAGACUGGGAUAACUCCGGGAAACCGGAGCUAAUACCGGAUAGUUCCUUGAACCGCAUGGUUCAAGGAUGAAAGACGGUUUCGGCUGUCACUUACAGAUGGACCCGCGGCGCAUUAGCUAGUUGGUGAGGUAACGGCUCACCAAGGCGACGAUGCGUAGCCGACCUGAGAGGGUGAUCGGCCACACUGGGACUGAGACACGGCCCAGACUCCUACGGGAGGCAGCAGUAGGGAAUCUUCCGCAAUGGACGAAAGUCUGACGGAGCAACGCCGCGUGAGUGAUGAAGGUUUUCGGAUCGUAAAGCUCUGUUGUUAGGGAAGAACAAGUGCAAGAGUAACUGCUUGCACCUUGACGGUACCUAACCAGAAAGCCACGGCUAACUACGUGCCAGCAGCCGCGGUAAUACGUAGGUGGCAAGCGUUGUCCGGAAUUAUUGGGCGUAAAGGGCUCGCAGGCGGUUUCUUAAGUCUGAUGUGAAAGCCCCCGGCUCAACCGGGGAGGGUCAUUGGAAACUGGGAAACUUGACUGCAGAAGAGGAGAGUGGAAUUCCACGUGUAGCGGUGAAAUGCGUAGAGAUGUGGAGGAACACCAGUGGCGAAGGCGACUCUCUGGUCUGUAACUGACACUGAGGAGCGAAAGCGUGCGGAGCGAACACGAUUAGAUACCCUGGUAGUCCACGCCGUACACCAUGACUGCUGAGUGUUAUGCGGUUUCCGCCGCUUAUUGCUGCAGCUGAUGCAUUAACCACUCCCCCUGCGGAGUACGGUCGCAAGACUGAAACUCAAAGGAAUUGACGGGGGCC